rnacentral:rRNA from 1 species
GAUGAACGCUGGCGGCGUGCCUAAUACAUGCAAGUCGAGCGAACAGACGAGGAGCUUGCUCCUCUGACGUUAGCGGCGGACGGGUGAGUAACACGUGGAUAACCUACCUAUAAGACUGGGAUAACUUCGGGAAACCGGAGCUAAUACCGGAUAAUAUAUUGAACCGCAUGGUUCAAUAGUGAAAGACGGUUUUGCUGUCACUUAUAGAUGGAUCCGCGCCGCAUUAGCUAGUUGGUAAGGUAACGGCUUACCAAGGCAACGAUGCGUAGCCGACCUGAGAGGGUGGUCGGCCACACUGGAACCUAGGCACGGGCCAGACUCCUACGGGAGGGAGCAGGAGGGAAUCUUCCGGAAUGGGCGGAAGGCUGACGGAGCAACGGCGCGUGGGUGAUGGAGGGCUUCGGAUCGGAAAACCCUUUUUAUAGGGAAAGAAAAAUGUGGAAAGAACUAAGCACGUCUUGACGGGACCUAAACAGGAAAGCAAGGCUUACUACGGG